UUAAAGCGGAAACGGAAGAGACCCUGUUGAAACGUGACAGAGUCCAGAGAAAUCCAUUUUUUUUUAGAAAUUCAAAGACUUUAGAAAUGUCUUCUUACACCUGCAUCACAUGCCGGGUGGCAUUUGCAGAUCCUGAUAUUCAGAGAGCCCACUACAAGACUGAUUGGCACAGAUACAAUCUGAAGAGGAAAGUAGCUGAUAUGCCCCCUGUCACAGCUGAAAACUUCCAAGAAAGGGUGAUGGCCCAGAGAGCAGUUGUAGAGGAGCAAGGCAAAGAAACUGCCACCUACUGCACGGUUUGCAGCAAACGAUUUGCCACUUUCAAUGCAUAUGAAAACCACUUGAAGUCCAAAAAGCACUUAGAGCUUGAGAAAAAAACAACUCGGGCUGUUACAAAGAAAGUAGAACUAUUAAAUGAAAAGAAUUUGGAAAAGGGCUUUGAACCAGAAAGUGUGGACAAAGAUGCCAUGAACAAAGCUAUUCAACAGGCUAUUAAACCACAACCUUCAAUGUCUCCAAAGAAGAAUACUAGCACUGGGCAAGAAAGUGUUACAUCGUCUGUUCCAGGAAAACAAGUAGUGCAGUCCAAGUCCAGGCCUGACAAGCCUCCUCGAUUACAGUGGUAUGAACAACAAGCCAAGAAGCUAACCAUGCAGGAUGGCGAAAGUGAAGCAAUGGUUGAAGACGAGGAGGAAGGCUGGGAAGAUAUGGAUUUUCCUGAGGAGGAAGAGGAGGAUGAUGCUGAAAGUGAUGAGGAAAUGGAGGCUGUAGGUGUUGAUGAAAGGACCCUGACUUCUAACGAAAGCACCUCACCAGUAGAUGGCAUUCCUAUCACAGACUGCUUGUUUUGCCCUCAUCACUCCCGCUCAUUGAUGAAGAAUGUUGCUCACAUGACCAAGGUUCACAGCUUCUUCAUUCCUGACAUUGAGUACCUUCAGGAUCUUCAGGGCCUAAUUGCAUAUUUGGGUGAAAAAGUUGGUGUUGGGAAGAUCUGCCUUUGGUGUAAUGAGAAAGGAAAGUCUUUUUACACGACAGAGUCGGUCCAAGCACAUAUGAAUGAUAAGAGUCACUGCAAGCUCUUUACAGAUGGGGAUGCUGCAUUGGAGUUUGCAGACUUCUUCGAUUUUAGGUCCAGCUACCCAGACCAAAGAGAUGGGGAGGACAUUGAGAUGCUUGAAAAGGAAGUGCUAGGUGAUAAGAAUCUGGAAUAUGAUGAAGACACAAUGGAGCUGGUUUUACCAUCUGGAGCUAGAAUAGGUCACCGGUCUCUGAUGAGAUACUAUAAGCAGAAAUUUGGUGUUACUAGGGAACUGGUCGUCUCCAGAAACCAGAAAGUUGUGGGUCGAGUUCUGCAGCAGUACAAAGCCCUAGGAUGGACAGGUUGUACUGGUUCAUCUCUCCAAUACGGCGGUGAUAUGCAGUAUAUUCAGAAGAUGAAAUCCAAGUGGAUGCUGAAAACGGGAAUGAGCAAUAAUGCAACCAAACAAAUGCAUUUCAGGCCUCAAAUUAGAUGUUAAACUGGUACUAAACUGAUUAAUUUCAAAAGCAUUGCUCAGUGUAUUACAUCAAACAUUCAGAUGAUACAGAGGAUGUCACAUGGCUGUAAAAGGAUUGGCAGUAAAUAAAGAUUCAGUGGCAUUGGUUUUUGAAAAUUUCAAUUCCGUGCCAUUACUGAUUUAUACACACAAAAAAUGGUCAACAGUUCACAAGUACCAAGUCUAUGAUCUUUUCAUGGUUGGGAUAGCGUCUCUUGAGUAACAUUUGGAUUAGACUGUUUCUGUGUCAUUUUGAUAGAUCCAUGAAAUUCUGGUUCAUGGUUUGUAGUCCAACCAACUUUGCUAAUUGAACUUUUACUACAUCGGUUUACAAGUAAAGACUUGAUUUUUUAAAAAUAUUUAAUAAUAAAGCCACAUAUAGAAUAUGAAGAUGAAAAAACAUGAAUUUAAAUCCUCUAUAUUUAAAAUUCAAGCUUGAUUUUGAGUAGACUCUUAAUUAGUGUUUUUUAAUCUUUUGAAAGGGACUUAAGUUCUGUACAUGGUGUUAGGAUGGUGACCAGUUUUACACCUGUAACUUGGCUCUAAAUUUCUACUUUCCUAUUAACUCCUGGCAGAUGAACAUUCAAUACUGAAAAAUUGAAAUUCACCCUUGGUGAGUGUACCAUGGAUUCCAGGCUUGCAGUGUUGAGUAACGUUCAGGCCUGUUCAGUAGGAAUUUUUGAGCCCUGCUUGUAAUCUAAAUUAUAUUGAACAUCUUCAUUAAACUUUUUUCCAGUGUCCAUAGGGCUCGCAAUCACAUUUGAAAGUGUUGUAGUAUUAUAUGUAUUGUGGAAUGAUUAAUGUGUAUAUUCCAACCUGUAGAGCUCCACUCAUAGGGACACACUUAAUUGCUUAAAUCCGAACAAAAAUUACUGUAUAUUAGUUCUACUUCCAAUAAAACAUGCUUUUAAUCCUGCUCCAUUGAACUAACCAACUAGGAAGUAACCGGAUUGGUUGUCUUAUUGACAGCCAGGGGGUUUAGUUUAGUAAGGUUCAUUUCUAAAAGAGGCAAUUUCAAUAGAAAUCUACGCUUUUUUGUAAAAGGAGAAAGGAAACAAAAAAGGGGGGGGGGACGACACCCUUCACACACAAACCCCUUUUUUAAGCUGAAGAGCUUUAGGUGUCUGGAGUGUCCCUUUAAAUAGUAACCGAAACCAUUUUAGGACCCAACCCAGAGGUUAUAAAAAAGUACUCUAAACUGAUGCAGAGUCUCUAACACUCUGUUCGUGGGUUACCGUACCAGUACAUGAAUUUGUUGAUGCGCAAUACUUUGAAAAAUUUAAAAUAAAUGAUAGUGCUCCACAAUACUGUUUUUUAUUUUUUUUAUUUAACAUAAUGUUCUUAUCAAAUCUGUUUCAGUCCUGAAAAUCAAACCUUAAAAAGUACAACAUAUAUUUUGGC